rnacentral:rRNA from 1 species
AUUGAACGCUGGCGACAUGCCUUACACAUGCAAGUCGAACGGCAGCACGGGUGCUUGCACCUGGUGGCGAGUGGCGAACGGGUGAGUAAUACAUCGGAACAUGUCCUGUAGUGGGGGAUAGCCCGGCGAAAGCCGGAUUAAUACCGCAUACGAUCUACGGAUGAAAGCGGGGGACCUUCGGGCCUCGCGCUAUAGGGUUGGCCGAUGGCUGAUUAGCUAGUUGGUGGGGUAAAGGCCUACCAAGGCGACGAUCAGUAGCUGGGCUGAGGGGACGACCAGCCACCCGGGGGGGGGAGCACGGACCAGUGGACAACGGGGAGCGCCGGGGGGGAAAUUGUGGAAAGGGGGGGGAAGCUUGACCAAGGAGUGCCGGGUGGAUGAAGAAGCCUUCGGGGUGGGAGACCAUUUUUGCCGGGAAAAAAAUCUUUGCCCCAAUACGGGGCUGGGAAUGAGGGUACCGGAAAAAGAAGCACGGGCAAACUACGUG